CAAAGUAAUGCAGGCAAUAAGGACUGCCUUCCAGCCAGUUGUUGAAGGAUGCAGGCUACAGAUUUUGCUGGCAUGCCACACCAAACUAGUUGAGCCAUCACUCACUUCCAAACAGACUUUGAAUGGAGACCUUGU